UUGAACGCUGGCGGCAGGCCUAACACAUGCAGGUCGAACGGUAACAGGAAGCAGCUUGCUGCUUCGCUGACGAGUGGCGGACGGGUGAGUAAUGUCUGGGAAACUGCCUGAUGGAGGGGGAUAACUACUGGAAACGGUAGCUAAUACCGCAUAACGUCGCAAGACCAAAGAGGGGGACCUUAGGGCCUCUUGCCAUCGGAUGUGCCCAGAUGGGAUUAGCUAGUAGGUGGGGUAACGGCUCACCUAGGCGACGAUCCCUAGCUGGUCUGAGAGGAUGACCAGCCACACUGGAACUGAGACACGGUCCAGACUCCUACGGGAGGCAGCAGUGGGGAAUAUUGCACAAUGGGCGCAAGCCUGAUGCAGCCAUGCCGCGUGUAUGAAGAGGGCCUUCGGGUUGUAAAGUACUUUCAGCGGGGAGGAAGGGAGUAAAGUUAAUACCUUUGCUCAUUGACGUUACCCGCAGAAGAAGCACCGGCUAACUCCGUG
rnacentral:rRNA from 1 species